rnacentral:rRNA from 1 species
CACUUUGUCCUCACUCGUGCGCACCCGGGAGCCCAUUCGAACAGAACUCCAAAGUUAAGCGUGCUCAGCUUGGAGUAGUGCUAGGAUGGCUGACCGACCGGGAAGUUGUUCCUUGUUGAUAUGA